GUGCACAUUUCAUUGACCUGCUUUCUUUAUACGUGAGCAGUGUUAUUUCUUAUGUGCUAUACAGACAGUUGAAGGUUAAUUAGCAGUAUAACUAUAAAUAGUAAUGCUGCCAGUCUCCUUCAGACAAGA
ensembl:snoRNA